AAUUCUAGAGGAUUGUUCAAAAAUUUUUUUGAAGCCAUUAUUUCAUCAUAUUGGUUAAGUAUAUUAGAUCUUUUUUUGUUUUUUUUAUUACUGUUAAUAAUGGGGUUGUUGUUGUUCUUAUUGUUGUUCUUGCUCCUGUUCUUAUUCUUGUUAUUAAUGUUGUCCUGAUUGAUAUCCUUACUGUUGUUAACAUUGCCAUGCUUACUACCUUCAUCUGCUGUACUAGAGUUAAUAAUCUUUUGGGGUGUAUCAUUGUUUGAUAUUUUAUGUAAAUUACUAUUAUUAUCCAACAGUUGGUUCACUUCUUGCAAUGCUCCAUCAAUACACUUAACAGAAGUUGAGUGUUCACUUUUGUUUUUAAUUUUAUGAAAAAUGUUUGAUACGUUAUUGUUUAUCUCAAUUCGUGCUUUAUUUUUUAUUAGUUUUUCUAUUAAAUUAUUUUUUUUAAUUUUAAAAUUUAAUUUUUUUACUUUUUUUCUACGUUUAGUUUGGCUUUUUGUUUCAUUGAUUAAUUCAUUUUUUGCUUGACACUUUUUAGCAUCUUCAGUUUGUUUUAAAUAUCGUUUGUAAAUUGUCAUGAAUUGUUUAGCAACAUUGUCACUUUUAUUUUUAUUACUACUUUUUUCAUGUCUUGUUUCUUUUUCUUCUUUUUUUUCUUCAAUUCUUUCUUCUUUUUUCUUUUCUAUUUCUUCCGCUUUUUUUUUGUUUAUUUCAAAUUUUAGCUUUUCAUCAUAAGGGGUAUCGAUUCUAUACUUUUUUCUUUCUCUUGUUAUUUUCAUCAUUUUUUUUUUUUUUUUUUUUUUUUUUUUUUUUUUUUUUUUUUUUUUUUUUUUUUAUUUUUUUUUUUUUUUUUUUUUUUUUUUUUUUUUUUUUUUUUUUUUUUUUUUUUUUUUAUUUAACAUCAUGACUUAAAAAUUGUUGUAAAAUAUAAAACUUAUGCACUUUAUAUAUCCCUUUUGGUAAAAAAAAAAAAAGAAGCAAAAACAAGGCAAAAAUAAAACAACCUAAAUAAUAUAGUAAGACCA
rnacentral:lncRNA from 1 species